rnacentral:rRNA from 1 species
AACAGACGAGGAGCUUGCUCCUCUGACGUUAGCGGCGGACGGGUGAGUAACACGUGGAUAACCUACCUAUAAGACUGGGAUAACUUCGGGAAACCGGAGCUAAUACCGGAUAAUAUAUUGAACCGCAUGGUUCAAUAGUGAAAGACGGUUUUGCUGUCACUUAUAGAUGGAUCCGCGCCGCAUUAGCUAGUUGGUAAGGUAACGGCUUACCAAGGCAACGAUGCGUAGCCGACCUGAGAGGGUGAUCGGCCACACUGGAACUGAGACACGGUCCAGACUCCUACGGGAGGCAGCAGUAGGGAAUCUUCCGCAAUGGGCGAAAGCCUGACGGAGCAACGCCGCGUGAGUGAUGAAGGUCUUCGGAUCGUAAAACUCUGUUAUUAGGGAAGAACAAAUGUGUAAGUAACUAUGCACGUCUUGACGGUACCUAAUCAGAAAGCCACGGCUAACUACGUGCCAGCAGCCGCGGUAAUACGUAGGUGGCAAGCGUUAUCCGGAAUUAUUGGGCGUAAAGCGCGCGUAGGCGGUUUUUUAAGUCUGAUGUGAAAGCCCACGGCUCAACCGUGGAGGGUCAUUGGAAACUGGAAAACUUGAGUGCAGAAGAGGAAAGUGGAAUUCCAUGUGUAGCGGUGAAAUGCGCAGAUAUCAUG